UACGGGGGGAGCAAGCGUUGUUCGGAUUUACUGGGCGUAAAGGGCGCGUAGGCGGCGCAACAAGUCACUUGUGAAAUCUCCGGGCUUAACCCGGAGCGGUCAAGUGAUACUGUCGUGCUAGAGUGCGGAAGGGGCUACUGGGAAUUCUCGGUGUAGCGGUGAAAUGCGUAGAUAUCGAGAGGAACACCUGCGGCGAAGGCGGGUAGCUGGGCCGACACUGACGCUGAUGCGCGAAAGCCAGGGGAGCGAACGGG
rnacentral:rRNA from 1 species